rnacentral:rRNA from 1 species
UGGGGAAUAUUGCACAAUGGGCGCAAGCCUGAUGCAGCCAUGCCGCGUGUGUGAAGAAGGCCUUCGGGUUGUAAAGCACUUUCAGCGAGGAGGAAGGUGGUGGACUUAAUACGUUCAUCAAUUGACGUUACUCGCAGAAGAAGCACCGGCUAACUCCGUGCCAGCAGCCGCGGUAAUACGGAGGGUGCAAGCGUUAAUCGGAAUUACUGGGCGUAAAGCGCACGCAGGCGGUUUGUUAAGUCAGAUGUGAAAUCCCCGGGCUCAACCUGGGAACUGCAUUUGAAACUGGCAAGCUAGAGUCUCGUAGAGGGGGGUAGAAUUCCAGGUGUAGCGGUGAAAUGCGUAGAGAUCUGGAGGAAUACCGGUGGCGAAGGCGGCCCCCCUGGACGAAGACUGACGCUCAGGUGCGAAAGCGUGGGGCAGCAAACAGGAUUAGAUACCCUGGUAGUCCACGCUGUAAACGAUGUCGAUUUUGGAGGUUGUGCCCCUUGAGGCGUGGNUUCCGGAGCUAACGCGUUAAAUCGACCGCC